AUUGAACACUGGCGGCAGGCCUAACACAUGCAAGUCGAGCGCGAAAGGCUUUCGGGCUGAGUAGAGCGGCGGACGGGUGAGUAACGCGUAGGAAUCUACCUGGUAGUGGGGGACAACUUGGGGAAACUCAAGCUAAUACCGCAUACGCCCUAUGGGGGAAAGUGGGGGACCUUCGGGCCUCACGCUAUCAGAUGAGCCUGCGUAGGAUUAGCUAGUUGGUGAGGUAAAGGCUCACCAAGGCGACGAUCCUUAGCUGGUCUGAGAGGAUGAUCAGCCACACUGGGACUGAGACACGGCCCAGACUCCUACGGGAGGCAGCAGUGGGGAAGUAUUGCGCAAUGGGGGCAACCCUGACGCAGCCAUGCCGCGUGUGUGAAGAAGGCCUCGG
rnacentral:rRNA from 1 species